ensembl:miRNA
AGUCUAGUUACUAGGCAGUGUAGUUAGCUGAUUGCUGAUAAAACCAAUCACUAACCACACGGCCAGGUAAAAAGAUUUGG